UCCUUGCUACUUGCCACUUGCUACUACCGCGAAACUGCCGUCUACUCCGCCGAGACUACCGUCAUUGCUCUCUGCCUGGAAUGCCUGCGACCGCCUCUCUCACCUCUCUGCCUCUCGCCACUCGCUACCGGAGUACCGGCUACUGCCCCUCUCGGCCUCUCGUCUCCUCUCAGGAUUCAGGAGUCCUCGGUCCUCUGUGGCUCUAUCGCUCUGCCCCUGUCUGUGCCGCACCUCGCCACUCGCCAGUCCUCUGUGCCCUAAUUUCGCCAGUCAGCAGCCCAGCAUGAUUCCUCAGUGAGUCACUGUCUCACAAUCUCAGCUUCUCAGUGUGCAAAACUUUGGAGUUUGGAAUCUUUAAUUUGCCCUCAAUUUUUGUGCUGCCAAAUGGGGUCACAUGUUGCAACUUAAAACAUAAUUCUUUGUUGCCAAAAAUUCAAAGUAGCUUCUACGAACCCGAAAAUGGAAGAAAAAAAAAAAGACCCUGGUUAACUGAUACCAGAUGAGAACUGUAUGAAUUGUAUUGAAUGAGAUAGUUCAAAUAUAUAGAUUACAUGGAUAUAUAUAAUGAGAGAAUUUCAGAAAAAUUAGAAUAAGGGAAUCACAGGAAGCCUAGAAUAAAGAGUUAUAAUCUUAACUCAAAUACAUAGAAUCCUAAUACAAAGGUCAUAGUAAAGAUCAAUGAAGCCACAAGUAGAUAUGUUCGAUUUGUUUCUACCAUAAAAGCAACAUCCUUUUCUGUAUCAGCAUACUCUUUCCUCUUUUAUUUUUUGUAAGUUUAAGUACUCCACUUUGAGGACCAAUGUUACCACCAUUCCUUACGUUUUCAACCCUGCUAUUUACACAAAUGUAACAGUUUACAUAUAUGGCAUGAUCAUAAUUUGAAUUAUAUAUAUAUGACAUGCAUAAAAUAAUGAUAUAGAAGUAGUAAAAUGUACUUACUAAAAAAUACUUAGACAAUGACUAUUUUCUGUUUUAGAAGGCCUUGGCAAAUGGAGCUUGGUGUUGUUUAUUAAACACCAAAUACUUCCACAUAAGAACCUGCAUAGCAACACGUUCCAAAGAAUUGUGCCUAGAUCUCUACAACUGGAAAGCAGAAAAGCCACCGGUGUCUUGCCAUCCUUGUCUUUACCCUCAAUCAAGUUGUCAACCUGGGGAUACUUCAAAAUAUAGUCUAUUGCAUUCAAGUUAUGUCCUAGUACUGCUUCGUGAAGGACAUUUUGGGAUUUACACUUAAGCAUUAUCUAACAAUUUGGGAAAUUAUUUGACAUGUAUUCAAGCAUUCCAACAUUGCCAUACCUUACUGCUAUGUGAAAUGUUGUGGUCUACUUAUCACCUUUGCCUGCGCAAAUGUAAGCUGGACAACUUCUUUCGGCAAGAAUCAUACGGACAGCCUCACUAUACUGGUUUUUUAUAGCAUAGUGUAGUGGUGUCCAACCCGAAUCGUCAGUCAUGUCGCACAAGUAGAUCUCCCUCUUCAUUAGUAAUUGCGUGCAUUCUGAAGGAUAUAUAUCAAUGAUACAAUUAUAUGAAAACAGUAUAUAGCUACUUAUUAUAUAUAUUUGGUCAGGCAUGGUGGCCACGUACAGCGGCAUAUAUAUGAUUUUUAUCUUCUAUAUUAGUCCACUCACAUUUUUAUUAUACAAUCAUAAAGACCAAUUAAUUAAUAGUAUUUAAAAGAAGUAAAAGAGCCCAUAGAUUAAAGUUGGUAAAACAAAUUAAUGACCAUUUAAUUUGCAUUACACAUAUAUACGGAGUAUGCAAUUAGCUAGGUUUAAUAAGUGAACUUGGGGAAGAUACUAACCAUGCACAUUUCGGCAAUUAGCUAGGUUUAAUAGGUGAACUUGGGGAAGAUACUAACCAUGCACAUUUCGGCCCACGCUACGUGGCCACCCCUACUUGACCAAACAUAUAUAAUAAGUAGCUAUAUAUUGUUUUCAUAUAAUUGUACCACUGAUAUAUAUAUCCUUCAGAAUGCACGGAAUUACUAAUGAAGAGGGAGAUCUGCUUGUGCGACAUGACAUGAUUGACGAAUCGGGUUGGACGCCACUACACUAUGCUAUAAAAAACCAGAAUAGUGAAACUGCCCGUAUGAUUUUUGCUGAAAAAAAUUUUGUUCAGUUUACAUUUGCGCAGGCAAAGGUGAUAAGUGGACCACGACAUUUCACAUAGCAGCAGGGUAUGAGAAUGUUGGAAUGAUUGAAUACAUGUCAAAUAACUUCACAGAUCAUUGGAUGAUGCUUAAUUGCAAAUCCAAAAUGUCCUUCACAAAGCGGUACUGGGACAUAGAUUGAAUGCAAUAGACUAUAUUUUGAAGUAUCCCCAAGUUGACAACAUGAUUGAGGGUAAAGACGAGAAUGGCAAGACACUGUUGGCCCUGCUUUUCGGUUGUAGUUACAGAUCUAGGCGCAAAUCUUUGGAACGUGUUGCUAUGCAGGUUCUUAUAUGGAAGUAUUUAAUGUUCAAUAAACAACAUCAAACUCCAUUUGCCAAGGCCUUCCAAAAUAGAAAGUAGUCGUUGUGUAAGUAUUUCUUAGUAAGUACACUUUAUUACUUCUAUAUCAAUAUUUUAUGCAUGCCAUAUAUAUAAUAUAUAAAAUUCAAAUUAUGAUUAUGUCAUAUAUGUGAACUGUUACAUUUGUGUAAAUGGCAGGGUUGAAAAUGUUAGGAAUGGUGGUAACAUUGAUCCUCAAAGUGGAGUUCUUAAACUUAUAGAAAAUAAAAAAAAGAAGGAAAGAGUAUGCUGGUAUAGAAAAAGAUGUUGCUUUUAUGGUAGAAACAAGUCGAACAUAUCUACUUGUGGCUUCAUUGAUCUUUACUGUGACCUUUGUAUUAGGACUCUAUGUAUUUGAGUAGGAUUAUAACUCUUUAUUCUAGGCUUCCUGUGAUUUCCCUAUUCUAAUUUUCCUGAGAUUCUCUCAUUAUAUAUAUCUAUGUAAUCUGUUUUGAACUAUCUCAUUCAAUAUAAUUCAUGCAGUACGCCAUGGCUACUCGAAGCUAGUCUCAGGCUCCCCAUACAGCUCUAUCUGCUCAGGUUUGUCCUACUGAACCCACUUGUUACACUCAAACAGUCACCGAAUGGCGUGAGGCAAUAGAUCACGAAUUCAAUGCUCUUCUUCAAAAUCAGACAUGGUAUCUUGUUCCUUCUAGAUCUGAUAUGAAUGUUGGAUGCAAAUGGGUCUUUCGCACAAAAUGAAAGACUGAUGGUACAAUUGAGAGACACAAGGCUAAGUUAGUAGCAAAGGGUUUUAGUCUGGUUCCAGGUCAGGAUUUCUUUGAUACAUUCAGCCUUGUGGUUAAACCCAAUACUGUCAGAUUAUUAUUGUUUUUAGCUAUAUACUCUGGUUGGGUUGUUAGAUAGUUUGAUGUCCAUAAUGCCUAUCUAAAUGACAAUUUAACUGAAACUGUGUAUAUGAAGCAACCCCUGGUUAUGUUAAUGGUCAGUAUCCCCUACCUAUGUUUGUUUGCUUAAAUGUUCGUUGUAUGGUUUAAAACAGGCUCCUAGAGCUUGGUUCAAUCGUCUACACUCCUUUUUACUUUCUGUUGGUUUUCAAGCAUCCAAAACAGAUGUGCCUCUGUUUUAUUACUCACAAGAUUUUGCUUACGUGUACCUCUUAGUCUAUGUUGAUGACAUACUUGUAAUGAGAGUGAUCCAAAUCUUAUAACUCAUCUAUUAUCAAAGUUGUCUACUGCUUUUAAGAUUAUGGAUCUUGGUGAACUUGGUUUCUUUCUUGGUAUUGAGACAGUUAAAUGUGAUGAUGGGAUACUAUUUUUACAAAAGAGAUAUAUGACUGAUAUUUUAAACCUUGUUGGAGUGACAGAAUGCAAAGCAUUAUCUACUCCUAUUUUUGUUUCGAAAUCUAUUCCUUUCAGUGCAGACUUGUAUGAGGAUUUUACCAAUAUAGGAGUUUGGCAGGGGCACUAUAAUAUCUGACUGUCACGCGUCCGGAUCUAUCCUUUGCAGUCAACCAACUAUGUCAACAUAUGUAUGCUCCUAUAGUUAAAUGAACUGAAACGAGUAUGUCAACAUAUGUCAUCAUUGGGAACAACUGAAACGAGUAUUGAGUUCUCAUCCUUUGCAACGUUUUUAACACUCCCAAGAGGAAACAACAGCAGUCCCGGAGAAACAGGAGGAUCACCGAUAUUAUUAGCCAAUACAUGUUUGCAGUUAUUUGUUCUAAUGGGUUUGGUUGCUUUUAUGUGCUCUGUUGUGUCCAUAUUGUUCUUGUUUAUUUCCUUUCAAAUAUUUGUUGUCAAAGCAAAAUCACGAGCCCAAGUCCAACAUUCCAACAGUUCCAAUUGUUCUUAAUUCCUUUAACUUGAGGCUAAGUUAUUUAACAUAUCUAAUACCUAAAAACUAAUUAGUGUAAUUGAAAGUUAUAUAUUCAUUUAUGCCCAUGUUUUUUGA